GCUGGUCUAGCUCAGUUGGUAAAAACAAGGCUCUUAACCUUGUGGUUGUGGGUUCAAACCCUAUGCCUUUUG
rnacentral:tRNA from 7 species